AAUGUCAGUGGAGGUGGCAUUUGUUGCUGCUGGUGAAAGCUUUAAGAGCCAGUGUGUGACUUGCCACAUUCCUGGUCCUGCCUCACCAGCUGAAAGCCUGUGUCGAGGUGGGUCUACUGACCCAUGUUAGACCUGUAGGGGAGUGAGAAAGAAAUUCUAUUGGGUUAAACAUCUCAGAUUUGGGGGAUGUUUGUUACUGCAGCAUAACCUAGCAUAUCCAUGCUGAUGAAUAGGCUGUGGAAUUUCAGGUAUUUAAAAUGGUGUGCCAGUAGCCCUGGACAGUUAGGGGCCACGGACUAUGUCAUUGUGCCCUAGCCAAAUUCUAUAACCACCACACACCAAGCCAAAGCCUUGGGCAAGUGGAGGACACCCAGCAUCUACUCUUUAUUAACUGCGAGCACUCAUUGACUUGAAGGUGGAAGGAGUGUCAGAAAAGUGAGUCCAGGCCACCAAACGCCUGCUUCAUUUCUCCUCAGAGCCAGACAACCUCCAAGUGUGUGUGGCCAGGUAGACACUUGGUCAAGCCUGGAAGAUGUCUGGGCUAAGAGCCCAGGCUGUGUACAUUAUUGGAUUGCAAUUGACAUCUUUUUGCCCUGAUUUGAUUUUUCCCUAUAUUGCUUUUCUCUAAAAAUAAAACAUAAAUCUUUGUGGUCAAUGUUAUAGGAGGCAGACAAAUCCAUCCCUGUAUCUUCUCAAACAGAGUCUCAAAGUCAGCCAGUGCAAGUUCAAUCCCAGAGUUUUAUUGAGGACCUACUAUGUACCUUUAGAGAUGGUCUCCACCUUGGCUUCCACAGUCUAGCAGAGAAGAUGGAACAUUAAAAAUAACUAGAACAAAGUGUAAGCACUGUAUAUAGCUCAUUCAUUCAAUAAACAUUUAGUGAAGACGAUUGUGUUCUAGGUAACAGAAGUUAUAGGAAGUACAGAUAUAUGACUAGACAGUGAUAGAAACAUUUAGAAGCAAUUGUCUCCUUCUGGAGGAAGGGAGGAGUUCUAGAUACUAUUGCUCCAUAACAAACCGCCCCAAACCCCAGUGACAAAAUAGCUAUUGUAUUAAAUUUACAGGUCCUAUGGGUUGGGAAUCCAGGCAGGGCAAAGAGGGGAUGGCUUAUGUCUGCUACUAACAUCUUGAUAGACACUAAGGCUGUAGGUGACCUCGUGGCCUGGGACUGGAGUCAUCGGAGAGUCCUUCACUCGUGUGUCUGGCUCCUGGACUGAGGUGAUUCAAAGAGGAGGCUCUGCUGAAACUGACAACCAGCAGGUCGCCUUUCAAUAUGGCUUGAGCUUCUUACAGUAUGGAGGCUGGGUUCCACGAGGGAGCAUGGUAAGGCCUUUUGUGACCUAGCCUCAGAAGUCUUAUAGUGUCACUUCCUCUGCAUUCUAUUGAUUAUGUCAGUCACUAAGGCCAACCCAGGUUCCAAGGGUGACACACAGAUGCCACCUCUCAAUGCAAGGAAUGUACAAGAAUUUGUAGGCAUGUUUUAAAACCUGUCUACAGGGAGGAUUCAGAUCUUGCUAUCUGAUAAUGAAUGAUAUAAUCAGAAACAAUGAAAAAAUAAUGUUCUUGGACUGAGUUUGCAUUCUGCAUUCACAUUUCCUGAAACAACACAGUAGGUUGUUUUUGUUACAACUUGCUUUUCCUCCAACAGGAGAUUAUUUUAAUUUCUUGGGUACACUGUCCAAAAGGAAACUAAGAAAAGAUAAACCAAACUCUGUACACUCAAUUUCUGAACACAUAUCCCACUGCCACCUUCAGCUGCUGUGCUGAGGGAAAUAAAGUGUGGCGGUAAACAGCAUGGCUCCCAAGGGCUGGCCUCCUAAAUAGCUGUGUGAUCUUGGGCUGGUAACUUAGUCUCUCUGUGCCUCAACUUCUUCAAUAUAGCAUGGUAAUAAUUUAUGCCUGCUUCAAAGAGUCAUCAUGAAGUUAAAAAGAGAUCAGCCUUGAACAGUGUUUGAAAGGUAGGAGGAAUUCAAUGUGUUAGAAAUCAUAAGUGCUAGUUUUCAAAAUAUACAGCUUUAUAGCAUUCUAGCUCCUUUGGGGGCAUACGUCGUGCCAUUUUCGUGCAGUGCUAGUGUAACGUCAUACACGCAAUUGGUGCUCAGUAAAUUCUUGCUUGUUAAGGCUGAGUUUAACACCCUCUUCAAGCAGUUGGUGACACUGCUUGGACUUGGAAAGGAGCAAGGCUGGGGAGAAAUGUGGGUUUUGAGAUGUUACAGCACAUAUUCAUGAUCCAGAAAUCCACUUUGAUUCAUUCAUGAUUCAUUUUGUUUUCCAAGGUUUAAAAAACAAAACUAAAUUUAAAAGUCUGUUAGGGAAUUAGAUACGUAAACCAGUCCACUUUUCUCAGGUUAUUUGAUGCUGGAAUAGCGUUUGUCUAGGGAAGGCUCCCACUGUAGCUAUGCUGGGGGCGCUGCUGUCCAUUCGUUACCAACCUCUCUAUCCAUCCAUCGAUUCAGCCACUAAACCAUCACUGAGCUCCUACGAUGUGCCGUUGUCAGUGCCAGGCAAUGGGUCCGUGGUGUGUCUAAGUCCAUGCCCUCGUGAUGCUUACAAUCUAGUGGAAAGUCACACACAGAAAUGCAAAACUGUGUUUGCAACAAGUGCUCUGGAGAAAAACAGGUACAGUAAUGUUUCCUGAGGAAGUAAGCCUUAUGUGUAUGCAGACGUGUGGACAUGCACAUGUCUAUGUGUGUUCAGAAACUUGUAUGCUUAUGUACACAUGUGGAUAUUUACAAAUGUCCAACAUGCGUUUUAAGAUUUGGGAUGUCAUGAAUUUUAUUGUUAACAGUUAACAAACUAAGCCAAACCGCUACUUUGAUGUGAUAUUGUACAUCGUCUGCCUCCUGCUACUUUCCAACUGUUAAUAAGAGCUGACAUUUGUGGAGCACUAACAGAUACUGUGUUAAAAGCUUGAAUAUUCCCCACAACACCCUGAGGCAGGAACUCCCAUUAGCUCCAUUUCCAGAUGAGGGAUGGAGGCCAGGUGAGUUCAGUACCUUGUCCUAAUCAGCCAUGGAGCUCGUGUCUCUGCCCCUAUGCUUUUUUUUGUCUUCCUUCAACAAGCCGAGUAGAGAAAUGGAUCCUGUGGAAGGCAGAGGUGUGCAGGGUCCACAUGGAGGGGCAGGGACCAAGAAUGUGGUGACGGGUUGCACGAGGUGGUCUUUCGAGAGCGGCGGGGUCAGGAUCUUACCGGCACCGCCUGGCUCCUGGCUUUUCCUGGGCAAGCUUGAUUGCUUCCAUUUCAACAGCCUCUGCUGUUCAGACGGCCUCUCAUCUCAGUCCCUUGUUGAGGUCGAAGGCGUGAAAUGCCAGGUGUCUUCUGAACACCUCUACCUGAUGGUUUCCAGCCCUUCAACCAAACUCAUCAUCCUUCCUCCCCAUCUCCAGUUUUUCUCAUCGCUGUUUAUGGCAUGCAUUUCAGAUUCAUUUUCAGCUUCCCCAGCCCCAACACGAAGUGGCUCACAAGGUAAGUGAUUGCAUCUCAGAAACAUUUUGUUUAACGCCAAGGUGCUUUAGUUCCUGGCUCUUGUCUGAGGGUGGUGUGGCUCCCAGAGUCCCCUUGAAGAUGUCUUUCUCCGGCAUUCCUCCUCUCCUCAUUCCUCGAAAUCUGGGUCCCUGCAUGAGCACCCACCCAUUCGCCCAUACCUUUCAGCUCAGGUGUUGAGGAUGUUUCCGUGCUUGACCUGUGAAUGGCUCUGGCCACACUGACGGUCCCAAGGGAUUUCCAUGGCAGGAAAGUAGGUCGAGUGUCUCCUUUGGGAGUAGAUAAUGGUGUCCGCAGAUGCGCUGCUCUUUGAAAAUUGAACUUGGCAAUUCCUCAGAAGCGCUUGGAUCCUCCCCAGUGCCGUGCUAGCAGGCCCUCCAAAGAAGCUCUGACUGCCCUGAAGUAAUCUGCCAGGGAAGCCAGCUGCUCAGAGAAUCUAAGGCCAGUUUUCCAGAGGCCUGUGCCAGCCCACGCUCUGCGGUGGGUGUUUCAGGCUGUGUGUGGUGGGGGCUGCCUGUACGAGCCUGGCUGGGUGGGCAGCUAGCAUCUAAAAUUCCAGUUGGAGUAGGGAAAGGAUGUCCAGACAAAGAGAGGGAGGAGAUGACUAUCAGCUGGUAGUGACUGGGGCACUUUGAGAGGGACCAAAUUUAAAAGAAAACUGACUUCCAUGUCUGCACCAAAUAUGAAUGACCUGUAACAGCGAGGAGCUUAACGGGCUUGAAGUAUUUCACAUAUGGUAUCGUUCAGUCCUCAUGAGAAUUCCAGAGGAAGCUUCUGUUAUCCUGCCAUGUGCCUCUCCUUCAGAGUAUUUGUCAUAAUGACAACUAUGCAUUUCUUCUGAGAUUUUUGUAAAUGGCUGUCUUCUCUAUUAAACCCUAAGAAUCACGAGGACAGUCUUAUUUUCACCCUGCAUUCUAUGCCCAACACCGACAGCAAUGCCCUGGCAUACAACAGGUGCUCAACUAAUGCACAGUGGAUGAAGGAAUUUACAUUAUUCACAAUAGCUAAGACAUGGAAGCAACCUGAGUGUCCAUCGGCGGAUGAGUGGGUAAAUAUGUGAGGAUUGUUUUGACUAUUCUGGAUCCUUUGAGUUUUCACAGGAAUUCUAGCAUCAGCUUGGCCAUUUCUACAGGAAAGCCAGCUUUCCCCCAUGUUGUGCAGACUUCCGGGACCAUCAGUCAAGGGUCCAUGCUCUCCUCUGCCCAGCGGGCUCAUCAUCCAGCAUCUACAGCCCCAAGGUCCUCGACAGCACAGAGGAAACUGUGUUCUUGUUUCUUGGAGGGUGUCUGCAGCGUUGCCAGCCUGUGUCUGCAGAUUAAUUGUCCACCUGUUGCACUGGUAACCCAUUCUGUCUUCAGCAGGUCCACGUGGUCCUGGCUUGGUCUGUGGAAACUAAUUAUACCUUUCCACUUGCUGCAGAAGUCAAGGCCUUUUGGUUGAUGUGUCUCUAUUUGUGGCUGCUGCAUCUCUAAUUGUGGCUGCUGCCCUAGCCCCAGCCAAGGUUAUAGCAAACAGAGUCAGACUGGAAGAAGGAUGCGGAAUUUGAUCCCUCUGACUAAUCACCGAAAAAAAACCAACUCAGCUAAGCUUUACUUGUGAAACAAGGAAAUAAAGGCUGGCUUCUCUUUUUAAAAAGCCAUGGAAAUAAAAACAAUAAAGUCAAAACCAUGAAAAAUAUUUACCAUGUGUACUAAUGCUAAUAUCCCCAACUUAUGAAGAAUUUCUACAGUGAUAAGGAAACGAUCCAAUGAAUAAAUGGGCAAAUGAUGGAAACAGCUCAGACUUAAGGAAAUGCAAAUGAUUCCUGGACAUUUGAAAAAGUACUCAGCAUCACUAAAAAUAAGAGAAAGUCCUAUUAAGUCCAGUUAAGACCAUUUGGGGUACUGUAUUUUAGCUAUCAUACAGGUAAAGAUCAGAGAAUCAAAAAAUGUGAGCACACAUGAAAUUGUUGAGGAUAUGGGGGAAUGGUACUAUCACAAAAUGUCACUACAGGUGUACAUUGUUCCCUUGUCAGGGGAUGGAAGUUGGUAAUAUCCAUGAAAAAAAAUGCACACUCCAUGUGACCUAGAAAUUCUACAGAUCUUCCCACGAUAGCGUGAAAUAGAAUGUUCACAAAGGUACAUAUGUCAGCAGUAUAUGUGAGAGCAAAAGGAUUGGCAACAAUUCUGGGACAAAACUGCUUGUUUCACCUCAAUAUCUAUUCUCCUCUCUUUCUUUCUUAAUAGAAACCCACAUUUUCCACCGACUCCCUGGAUUGUGAUGACAUUUCUCAUUCUCCCUUCCAGCUAGGUGUAGCUUAGUGACUAGAUUUUGGAAAAUGAGAUACAACUGAAAGGACUUUGUGAGCUGCGAAGCAUCCUUCUUGAUAGGGAGCAUGUUGGUCUUCAGGCUGGAAUGCAGACGUGAAGGCUGGAGCUCAAGCAGCCACAUUCAAACAUGAGAAGAAAUCCAUGAGCUAAGAAGAGAGGAACAAUAAGAUAAAAGGACCUUCAGUCUCUGAGGUUGUGGUUACCAACACCAGCCCUAAGCCACCUAACUCUGAUCAUCUUUUUCAUGUUAUACACUUCUAUCUUGUUUAAGCCACUAAGUCAUUAUUUUAGAUACUUUUAAAGAGACUGGUAAAAUAAAUCAUGGU